rnacentral:rRNA from 1 species
UUGAUUUCACACUGCCGAGAAAAGCCUCUAGAUAGAAAAUAGGUGCCCGUACCGCAAACCGACACAGGUAGUCAAGAUGAGAAUUCUAAGGUGAGCGAGCGAACUCUCGUUAAGGAACUCGGCAAAAUGACCCCGUAACUUCGGGAGAAGGGGUGCUCUUUAGGGUUAACGCCCAGAAGAGCCGCAGUGAAUAGGCCCAAGCGACUGUUUAUCAAAAACACAGGUCUCUGCUAAACCGUAAGGUGAUGUAUAGGGGCUGACGCCUGCCCGGUGCUGGAAGGUUAAGAGGAGUGGUUAGCUUCUGCGAAGCUACGAAUCGAAGCCCCAGUAAACGGCGGCCGUAACUAUAACGGUCCUAAGGUAGCGAAAUUCCUUGUCGGGUAAGUUCCGACCCGCACGAAAGGCGUAACGAUUUGGGCACUGUCUCAACGAGAGACUCGGUGAAAUCAUAGUACCUGUGAAGAUGCAGGUUACCCGCGACAGGACGGAAAGACCCCGUGGAGCUUUACUGUAGCCUGAUAUUGAAAUUCGGCACAGCUUGUACAGGAUAGGUAGGAGCCUUUGAAACGUGAGCGCUAGCUUACGUGGAGGCGCUGGUGGGAUACUACCCUAGCUGUGUUGGCUUUCUAACCCGCACCACUUAUCGUGGUGGGAGACAGUGUCAGGCGGGCAGUUUGACUGGGGCGGUCGCCUCCUAAAAGGUAACGGAGGCGCUCAAAGGUUCCCUCAGAAUGGUUGGAAAUCAUUCAUAGAGUGUAAAGGCAUAAGGGAGCUUGACUGCGAGACCUACAAGUCGAGCAGGGUCGAAAGACGGACUUAGUGAUCCGGUGGUUCCGCAUGGAAGGGCCAUCGCUCAACGGAUAAAAGCUACCCCGGGGAUAACAGGCUUAUCUCCCCCAAGAGUUCACAUCGACGGGGAGGUUUGGCACCUCGAUGUCGGCUCAUCGCAUCCUGGGGCUGUAGUCGGUCCCAAGGGUUGGGCUGUUCGCCCAUUAAAGCGGUACGCGAGCUGGGUUCAGAACGUCGUGAGACAGUUCGGUCCCUAUCCGUCGUGGGCGUAGGAAAUUUGAGAGGAGCUGUCCUUAGUACGAGAGGACCGGGAUGGACAUACCUCUGGUGUACCAGUUGUCGUGCCAACGGCAUAGCUGGGUAGCUAUGUGUGGACGGGAUAAGUGCUGAAAGCAUCUAAGCAUGAAGCCCCCCUCAAGAUGAGAUUUCCCAACUUCGGUUAUAAGAUCCCUCAAAGAUGAUGAGGUUAAUAGGUUCGAGGUGGAAGCAUGGUGACAUGUGGAGCUGACGAAUACUAAUCGAUCGAAGACUUAAUCAA